rnacentral:rRNA from 1 species
UACGUAGGGUGCGAGCGUUAAUCGGAGUUACUGGGCGUAAAGGGUGCGCAGGCGGCGUCGCAAGUCAGGCGUGAAAUCCCCGGGCUUAACCUGGGAACUGCACUUGAAACUACGAUGCUGGAGUAUGGCAGAGGGAGGUGGAAUUCCACGUGUAGCGGUGAAAUGCGUAGAGAUGUGGAGGAACACCGAUGGCGAAGGCAGCCUCCUGGGCCAAUACUGACGCUCAUGCACGAAAGCGUGGGGAGCAAACAGG